GUCAGAUUUGCGCGGGUGUUUUCAAUUCAAUGCUUUUAGGUAAGCCAAUCUCGGAUAUCAUGGAGCUGCAUUGUAGUUUUGGAAUAAGGAUGCAAUGUUUCUUCUGCGUUUCGAACGAAGGGUCGGAGCGUCAUCGGUGGAACAUCUCGGGGUUUCUCCAUGUACGACGUGCAAUCGCAUUACGGUGUUUUUCUCGUGGACGUUUCUCUGUCUAGAUAGUGAGAGAUAAACCAUUGCCCUAUUGAUCCACUGCUGAUGUCGGUCUGUUUACAGAUUAUAGAAAAACCUGUGCUUGUGGAUCUACAUCAG